AAUGGCCGCGGUACUUUGACCGUGCUAAGGUAGCGCAAUCAAUUGGCUCUUAAUUGGGGUCAGGAAUGAAUGGAGUUUACGUGGUCCAGCUGUCUUUUAACUAAUAUAUUGAAGUUACUAUAUAAGUGAAAAAGCUUAUUGUUUGAAAAAAGACGAGAAGACCCUUAGAGUUUUUCUUAGUGUGAACAAUCAUAUUCUAGUUCAUAAUGGUUUUGUUGGGGCAACAUAGGAGCAACAGGAAAAUAUAAAUCUCCUUAAUUAAACUUACCGAAGUAUUAAAAUUGGAUAAACUACCUUAGGGAUAACAGCAUAAUUUAAAAAAUAAGUUUGUGACCUCGAUGUUGGACUAGGAAACUUAAAGGCUAGCCGUCUUUAAGGGAAGUUCUGUUCGAACUAUUAUUCCUACAUGAUCU
rnacentral:rRNA from 1 species